ACCAGUUUUUCCUUGCGUGCCCGUGUGUUCCUGGGUAUUGGGAAUUGAAUCAGAGUGUAAUUCACCUCCUCCAUUCUGCUGCUUUCCAGUGUACUCUGUUAAUGGCUUCUUUCCUUUAAAGUCUUUCAUUUGCAGUUUCAGAUGUGUUAGUAAAGAUAACUUUAGCUCUAAAAAUAUGCCGUGCUAUCAUGUGCUUCUGUAUGCCGCCUCAGAAUGGAAGAAAAAAUGACCUCCUUCCUCACGCAGCAUAAGACAUAGGAAUGAACUUGCUUACGUGAAUACAGGAAGAAGAGUUUAUGUCCCUGGUUCCAGUCCCGAACACUGAAGUCAAUGAAUGAAUGCUGCUGACUUCUUUGAUAACCGUCACUCGCUGCAACAUGUCACCUCUAAAAGAUGGAGAAACAAUGUUUAGUGCUGAGUAUUACCAUAAUGUUUUCUAAAAGCACUUUCUGUGAUUGAAGAGAUUGCUGCUGGGUUCCUCAGGCCUGCUUCGCAGCCUUCAACAAGCAAAAAAAUAAAUAAAUAAAGUAGGGUAAUGAGAGAAAUCUGCAAACGGACACGAUUCCCCAUGUUAAUAAAUAUUUCAAGUCAUCGCACUAAUGCUGUGAUUUUCUAAGAAUACCCAGAACCUUUCAUUACUGACCUCAGCUAAUGCCUUUUCCUGGCUAGAGCCGUUCCUCUCCGUCACACUAAUGGCAACAUGUUGGACGGGCCUGUAAUGACCUCCUGGCAGCAGGGUUCAUCCUCUGGCUGUGCUGGCUGCUGCCCAGAUGGGAACUGUCACAAGGGCUGGAGGCAGCCAUGCUGGUCCCCUGGUUCUGCCAGGGCAUUGCCAUCACCUGGGGAUGCCUCUGCCAGGGUCAACUGGAGGAGUGCUGCCUGCGGGAGAACUGGGAUGAUUCAAAGAUGCCGAAACUUAGGGCAGCCUAUGAGCUGCUCUGAAUUAUGUGUGAGGCUGAGCUUCAAAUCACAGGAUCACAAGGGGUUGGGCUCCUGAAGAUGAGUCGUCCUUCAUGUUGUUCUUAACCUGGGGCAUUUUGUAUCAAGAAGAGGAGCCACCGUCUUGCCUAGCAUUUCUCAGUGCAACAUUCAUGGUCAGUCCAAAUUUGGAUCAACUUAAUAGCAUAAAC
rnacentral:lncRNA from 1 species